rnacentral:rRNA from 1 species
CCUACGGGAGGCAGCAGUGAGGAAUAUUGGUCAAUGGACGAGAGUCUGAACCAGCCAAGUAGCGUGAAGGAUGACUGCCCUAUGGGUUGUAAACUUCUUUUAUAUGGGAAUAAAAUGUUCCACGUGUGGGUUUUUGUAUGUACCAUAUGAAUAAGGAUCGGCUAACUCCGUGCCAGCAGCCGCGGUAAUACGGAGGAUCCGAGCGUUAUCCGGAUUUAUUGGGUUUAAAGGGAGCGUAGGUGGAUUGUUAAGUCAGUUGUGAAAGUUUGAGGCUCAACCGUAAAAUUGCAGUUGAUACUGGUCGUCGUGAGUACAGUAGCGGUGGGCGGAAUUUGUGGUGUAGCGGUGAAAUGCUUAGAUAUCACGAAGAAGUCCGAUUGCGAAGGCAGCUCACUGGACUGCAACUGACACUGAGGCGCGAAAGUGUGGGUAUCAAACAGGAUUAGAUACCCCUGUAGUC